UACAGAGGUGGCAAGCGUUGUUCGGAAUUACUGGGCGUAAAGGGCGCGUAGGCGGUCCGAUAAGUCCUGUGUGAAAUCCCUCGGCUCAACUGAGGAACUGCACGGGAGACUGCCGGGCUUGAGUUCGGGAGAGGGAAGCGGAAUUCCGGGUGUAGCGGUGAAAUGCGUAGAUAUCCGGAGGAACACCGGUGGCGAAAGCGGCUUCCUGGACCGACACUGACGCUGAGGUGCGAAAGCGUGGGGAGCAAACAGG
rnacentral:rRNA from 1 species